UACUGGCUUUAGGGGUAUUCUGAAAAAGAAUUGAGACAGUCCCUUUGAACCUGAUCCGGCUUACAUCGGCGUAGGGAAAAGCGCAUAAGACAGG
rnacentral:ncRNA from 2 species